rnacentral:misc_RNA from 1 species
GGAAGAAGAAGAUGACGAAGAAGAACCCACCAACCACCUCGACCGCCCCACCAUUGAACUUGCCGAUGCUGAUCACCCCAACGAUGCAGAACAACCACUUAACGACACCGAAACCUCUCAAAACGGGGACUCCACUAAACAGCAAGAGCCAUUUGUAUCUGGCCUAUCUGAGUCGGACCCAACCACUUCUAACGACACCGAGAAACCCACCCUCAAAUCCCCCAAACAUGAAGACAUUGAGGAAGAAGAAGAUGAGGAUGACGAUGAAGAUGAAGACCCACCUCCCAAAAAGCAAAAACAACUCUCGUCUUUGACACUGCAGCAACGAGAAGAAGAACCCGCAACAAUUGACGAUAACAGCAACGGCAAUAAUGUAUCCAACGGAACGAAGACUCCGACGGCGGCACAAGCCACGGCGAAAAAGAAAUCCAAGAAAAAAAGCAACAACAAUGUGUGGGUAACGAGAUCUACUCGCAAAGGCAAGAAGAAAACCAAGCCUAAUCCCCAAAAUGCUCCUGCUGAAGAUACAGUGUUGAUUACCCCGGUCCCCAGGUUCCCAGAUAAAAGUGACGAUACUCCAGAUAUGAAAAUUUGCUUGUCCAAAGUAUACAAAGCUGAGAAAGUAGAGUUGAGUGAAGAUAGAUUGAGUGCUGGAAGUACGAAAGGGUAUAGAAUGGUGAGAGCUACCAGAGGUGUUUGUGAAGGCGCUUGGUACUUUGAGAUUAAACUGGCGAGCUUGGGAGAGACGGGGCACACUCGUCUUGGGUGGUCUACGGAGAAAGGGGACCUGCAGGCGCCAGUUGGGUACGAUGGUAAUAGUUUUGGGUAUAGAGAUGUUGAUGGGAGUAAAGUGCACAAGGCAUUGAGAGAGAAGUACGGGGAGGAAGGGUAUAAGGAAGGCGACGUUAUUGGGUUUUACAUUAAUUUGCCAGAGGGUUCAUUACAUGCUCCUAAGCCACCUCAUUUGGUUUGGCAUAAAGGGCAUGGAUACGUGUGUGGUCCAGAUGCUAAGGAGGAUCCUCCAAAAAUCAUACCUGCAUCUAGCUAGGAGCAUUAUCUUGCUUGAGUAUGAAGUUGCAGCCUUCACCAUUAUGUUGAUGAAAUAUAUUUGACGGUAUGUUUGAUUGAUGAAUAUUCGUUGAAAUUUUAUUGGCAAACAUGGUUGAUCCUUUCUUUGAAAUAGAGAAGCUAUAUAUAACAUUAUUAUCAAAGGUGCGCAUGAGGCAUGAGGUGCAAGGGGCGCAGAGGUCUUCCCCUCAGACAGGGAGAGGCGACCUCACUCAGGCACUGCUAGGCGCAGUGAGACACACCUAGCCCAGGAAGUGAGAUAUCUUUCUUCAAAAAUGGGGUUUGUCAAGGCAUUGCUUUCAAGGAUUUGUUUGGUGGUCGUUACUACCCUGCUGCUUCAAUGUACACCCUUCCAAAUCAACCAAAUUGUGUGGUCAAGUUUAACUUCGGCCCAGACUUUGAAUUAUUUCCAGAGGAUUUUGGUGGGCGUCCAAUUCCUAGGCCCAUGUUUGAAGUUCCUUAUCAUGGGUUUGACAACCGAAUUGAAAACAGCACGAUGAAUGAGAACAAACAUUAGUAAUCUUAUUAUCAGCGGAGUGGAAGGUCAAUCCAAGCUUAAAAUUCUAUUUGUAAUUUUAGUUACUGUUAAAUUAGAAGUGACAGAUGAAUUAAUUUGAUUUGUGAACUCAGAUUUUCUCUUUUCUUCUGUUGUCGAGUUUCGAUUCAAAAUCAUUUAUUUGAUAAUUUUCAGGAAUAACAAAUUCGUUUCUGCUCUAUAUUUUUUAGUUCUUGUCUUCUUAUAGCUUUUUUCCUCGCAGUUAUAAUCACAAAUAUGUAGUUUUCUUUUAGGCAGAUUGUGUUAUAAUUCUUGACAUGGAGAUUGAAUUCAUCUGUUGAAAGAAGGCCAGUUUUUCCCUUUUUAAUUAAGUUUUUAAUGGGCUUUGGCUGAAUUUUUAUGUAUCCCCUCUGAGCUUUGUGAGGGUAAAUUCUUUAUAUGUAAAUCUUUGGUUUGGAUGGAAUUACUUUUGGUUUCUGAAUUGGGUUGUCUGUUGUUUAAUGUCAAAUAUUAGAUUUGCUGUUAAAACCUUGAAACUAGUCUCCAGAAUAGUAGUAAGUUCCUCUAAAUCUUGGUACACCUCGUUCAUGGGGGAUGGUUGCCAUGCCCACCUGCCAACACUAGGCACCAUAAUUGCAAUUAUCUCUUAAUUAUCUAUAGCAGAUAACAAAAUUAGGGCUUUUGCCUACAUGGUUCAUUGGUUCUUUUUGAUAGUUGAUGCCACCAAUUGCUUACAUGGUUCUUAAGGAAGAUAUCUUCUCCUUAUUGGUUUCAUCACUUGUACUGUUUAUCAGAUGAAUUGAAACUUUCUGUCAUUUUAUUGUUGUCAAUAUCUAGUGAUUAUUUGUUUCUUUGAAUUUUUUUUUCACAUCAGAAUAGACUAUAUAUAUUUAUCACUGAUUAGCUGAGACAAUAUUGUUAACAUUAUAUUAUGUUUUACUUCGAUUCCUGAAAAUCCCAUCAUCAGGUUUAUAACACAAUUUGUGUAUUGUUUUGCUUGGAAAGCAUGUUAAACUAUGUAGUUGUAAAUUGUGAUUUUUAUUUGCUUUUUAUUUGAAGUUACUGUUAUACACUCGAAAUGGCAAACAAUCAGGAAGUUGUUGAUGUGAACAUUGAGAUGUGGAAGAUGAAGAAACUAAUCAAAUCCAUUGAUAAAGCCAGAGGCAGUGGUACUAGCAUGAUUUCACUUCUCAUACGUCCAAAUGACCAAAUUUCAAAAGUUUCAAAGAUGCUAGGCAGGGAAUAUUGAACUGCAACAAAUAUCAAGAGUAGGUUGAACCGUAAAUCUGUGCAAGAUGCAAUUAUCUCUGCCCAGCAGGGGCUCAAACUUUACAAAGAGGUUCCCCCUAAUGGACUUGUCCUAUAUAGAGGAUUAGCAGUAACUGAUGAUGGAAAAGAAAAAUUGUUCUCCUAUGACCUUGUCCCUUUUAAGCCCAUAAUCCAAUCCCUCUACCUGUGUGAUAAGAAGUUCCAUACAGAAGCAUUGCAUGAACUUCUGGACUCUGAUGACAAGUUUGGAUUCAUAGUUAUUGAUGGGAAAGGAACUCUCUUUGGGACAUUAAGAGGCAACAGCCGUGAGGUACUUGAUAAGUUCACUGUGGAUCUUCCAAAGAAACAUAGUAGAGGUGGUCAAUCAAAACUUCGCUUUGAUCGACUUCGAAUGGAGAGUCGCCACAACUACGUGAGAAAGGCAGCAGAACUCGCUAUAAAGCAUUUUAUAGAUCCUGCAGGCAUUCCCAAUGUUGCUGGACUAAUACUUGCUGGGUCUGCUAAUAUUAAGACUGAGCUUAGCCAGUCCAACUUGUUUGAUCCUCGCCUACAGUCCAAGGUACUUAAGGUGGUAGACAUUUCAUGUGGUGGAGAGAUCGGGUUUAAUCAAGCAAUUGAGUUGUCAUCAGAGGUUCUUUCAAGUGUGAAGUUUAUACAAGAGAGGCGCUUGAUUGGGAUGUUCUUGGAGGAAAUCAGUCUGGAUAGUGGAAAGUUUGUGUAUGGCUUGGAGGACACUGUGAAGGCUCUGGAAAUUGGUGCUGUCAAGACAUUAAUUGUUUGGGAAGAUCUAGAUAUAAAUCGGUAUGUUCUGAAGAACAAAAAGACAGAUGAGGUGAUCUUAAAGCACUUGAACAAGGAACAAGAGGCUGACGAGGGCAAUUUCAAGGACACAACUACCUUAUCAGACAUGGACACUCAGGAAAAAAUGUCUCUGUUAGAGUGGCUUGUUGAUGAGUACAAGCAGUUUGGUUGCUCACUUGAAAUUGUCACAGAUAAAUCACAAGAGGGAUCGCAAUUUUGCAGGGGAUUUGGUGGCAUUGGUGGAAUCCUACACUACCAGUUGGAUGUUGGAUCAUUUGAUGAGCCAGAUGCUUAUGAAGAUUAUUCAGAGUAAGCACCAGAGAAACUGUUUUGCUGUCUGCACAGAGUAAUGCUGCCAUGAGUUGCUUCAAUGAGCAUUUUCCAUGUUUACUUUGUUUUACUUCUCUAUCCUUUUGAUUAAGUAAAUAAGGCCUCUUCUGUUCCUUAUAUUAAAUAAACAUGGGACUGUAUGUUACUCUCAGUCUUUUUAAAAUCCAUUUGAUCUUUUUGUAGUGGAUUUUUUAUUGUUGCUAUUUCAAUUUUAUUUAAUGCUGGUGCAGAUUUCAUUGUUUUUGUAAAUGGAG